CAAUGCAAAACAAUUCUUCCGUUCCCCAUCCUCUUCCUCUUCCUCUUCCUCUUCCAUCUGUUCCCCUCCUUCAUCCUCUUCCUCUUCCUCUUCCGCCCAUUCCCCGCCCUUUUUCAUCUUCCUCUUCCUCUUCCUCUUCCGUUCUAUUUGUCAUGUUCCUCCUACUCUUUUGUCUUCCUCUUUCUCUUCCACCCUCCUCUUUCUCCUUCUCCCCUCUUCCAUGGCUUCCCAAGGCAAAUGGAAUGGUGGUUCUGCUUCUAAUCACCCUCCACCAAUCUUGCCUCAAAGGAAUAAUAUGUAGUGAUUUCAGCCACUGAUUCUUCAAAGAAAUCAUCUUCCAAGUUCUUCAAAACAUCCACAAACUUCAUAUUCUAGCAAAGAAUUUCAAAAUGUUCAAAAUCUUGCAUCAAAGCCUCCAGCGUUUGGUUUUUGCCAAAAUCUUCCACCAAACACCUUAGAUCUAGGGCAUUUGACUUCAAAUCAACAUCCACUUGAGGACAUGAAAGUAGAAGAAGCUUUUACUAAGGAAAUCCAGAUAGAAGGGCAGAUAGAGCUCUGCAGCAAUAGAAGUUGACCGAACUACCCUGCCAAAAGGGUAAGUAGUUGAGCUAGGGUUAGAUUGGUUUUUGGGUUAUGACCCUAAGAUGCUUUUUGGUCUUUUUGUUGAUGUUUAUAUAUGUUUAUGACAGAUUCAGUAGAACUUUGGUAUUGUGUCUGGUGUUGUAUGACAUGUAUGUAAUUUAUGUUUUCCGCUGCUUAGGUAUCAGAGAUGUAUGAUAGGUAUAUCUUCGGUACCCAUGGCUCCGAGUUGAUCAUGACUAUAACAGUUUAGUAGGAUAUUAGAGUUAUUAUGUAUGUGGUAAAAAAAAAACAAUUUAUGGUAAAAUAGGCGAGUUGUUACAAUUAAA